UACGUAGGGGGCAAGCGUUGUUCGGAAUUACUGGGCGUAAAGAGUGUGUAGGCGGUGCUCUAAGUUCGGUGUGAAAUCUCCUGGCUCAACUGGGAGGGUGCGCCGGAAACUGGAGUGCUUGAGCGUGGGAGAGGAAAGCGGAAUUCCUGGUGUAGCGGUGAAAUGCGUAGAUAUCAGGAGGAACACCUGUGGUGUAGACGGCUUUCUGGACCAUAGCUGACGCUGAGACACGAAAGCGUGGGUAGCAAACAGG
rnacentral:rRNA from 1 species